AUUGAACGCUGGCGGCAUGCCUUACACAUGCAAGUCGAACGGCAGCACGGGUGCCUGCACCUGGUGGCGAGUGGCGAACGGGUGAGUAAUACAUCGGAACAUGUCCUGUAGUGGGGGAUAGCCCGGCGAAAGCCGGAUUAAUACCGCAUACGAUCCACGGAUGAAAGCGGGGGACCUUCGGGCCUCGCGCUAUAGGGUUGGCCGAUGGCUGAUUAGCUAGUUGGUGGGGUAAAGGCCUACCAAGGCGACGAUCAGUAGCUGGUCUGAGAGGACGACCAGCCACACUGGGACUGAGACACGGCCCAGACUCCUACGGGAGGCAGCAGUGGGGAAUUUUGGACAAAGGGCGAAAGCCUGAUCCAGCAAUGCCGCGUGUGUGAAGAAGGCCUUCGGGUUGUAAAGCACUUUUGUCCGGAAAGAAAUCCUUGACUCUAAUACAGUCGGGGGAUGACGGUACCGGAAGAAUAAGCACCGGCUAACUACGUG
rnacentral:rRNA from 1 species